CGUAGGGUGCAAGCGUUAAUCGGAAUUACUGGGCGUAAAGCGUGCGCAGGCGGUUUUGUAAGACAGGCGUGAAAUCCCCGGGCUCAACCUGGGAAUGGCGCUUGUGACUGCAAAGCUGGAGUGCGGCAGAGGGGGAUGGAAUUCCGCGUGUAGCAGUGAAAUGCGUAGAUAUGCGGAGGAACACCGAUGGCGAAGGCAAUCCCCUGGGCCUGCACUGACGCUCAUGCACGAAAGCGUGGGGAGCAAACAGGAUUAGAUACCCUGGUAGUCCACGCCCUAAACGAUGUCAACUGGUUGUUGGGUCUCUUCUGACUCAGUAACGAAGCUAACGCGUGAAGUUGACCGCCUGGGGAGUACGGCCGCAAGGUUG
rnacentral:rRNA from 1 species